GGUUUUUACCAUUGAACAACUUUAAAUGUCCGUCUCCACCCUCCAUUUUGUUUAGGUGUAUUCUAUUGUUGUCAAACCUUUGACUUCUUCCCUUCAGUCCCGUCACUGAAACUUGCCUUUGCGUCAGAGUGUAGAGGAUGUGAGUGACUCAGUUCAUGUUGGGGCUUUUACCGUCUAAAUGUUUAUUAGUAAAAUAUACAAGAACCCAUUGUACAGUUUAUAUCAAAUGUGGGUAAACAUAUAAAAAAGUGUUGUGACGUGUAAAUGUUCAGCUCCAGUAUUUUCUUAUCAACAGGGAUUUAGAAUCUCUACCUCAGCGCCAUCUUGUGUCGAUGUCAUCACUGUGCAACGUGUGUGGUGGCAUUUUAAUUGGCUUUUGAAAGAUGCAGAGGCGAAGUACUUCCAGCAGAUGGCAGCAUUUCCUACGGUGGUGGAGCUGCUCCUGCACAAAGGCGCAUACACUAGUUUAGUAUACUUUCCGUGACAUGGUACAUUUCGAUCUUUUUGGAAUGUUCCACUUGCUUUGUCGGAGGCGGAGCUUCUUCUACGCAGAGAAGGACGAGGAGCAGCGGGAGCAAACACGUGCUCAAGAAGUUGUGUCCAGCUGUGUGUGAAUGAGCCACCUCUCUAGCUUCAUCAUUAAGAUGCAAAUCUACAAUAUAUCCUCCUACCAGGAGGGACUGACGAUUACUCGAAGACAUCGCCUUCCUGAGAUGUUAGGAGGCGAGACUCCCCGUGAUGCAAUGUGAAGAAGGAUUUUGGAUUCAGUCCUUUCUGUUCC